rnacentral:rRNA from 1 species
GACGAACCGAGCGAACGUUAUUCGGAAUCACUGGGCUUAAAGGGCGCGUAGGCGGGCCGUCAAGUCAGGGGUGAAAGCCCCCAGCUCAACUGGGGAAGUGCCUCUGAUACUGGCGGCCUCGAGGGAGGUAGGGGCGUGCGGAACUUCCGGUGGAGCGGUGAAAUGCGUAGAUAUCAGGAAGAACACCCGUGGCGAAGGCGGCUCUCUGGGACGGUACUGACGCUGAGACGCGAAAGCGUGGGGAGCGAACAGG